GCAACGAUGAAGAACGCAGCGAAAUGCGAUACGUAGUGUGAAUUGCAGAAUUCCGCGAAUCAUCGAGUCUUUGAACGCAAGUUGCGCCCGAGGCUUGUCCGAGGGCAUUUCCGCUAGAGCGUCAC
rnacentral:rRNA from 21 species